AUGUGUCACAAGCUUCCAGUGAGAUUUGAUUUUCGCUAAACAAAGCCCUACAAAGUGAAGUGUGCAAACCCACCUCUUGGUACCAUUCACGGAUGAAUGAACAGGGUGAGAAGCCCCUUGUAAGCAAGCAGUAACAACUUCCUCCAACAUCCAGCCCUGAAACCACAGCCACAGGCAACUGGGGUUUCCAGAAUGCCCAUCCUGCAGCCCUUGACAUGCUCAACAUUUGACCAUAUGCCUCUCAGAUCUCUUGGAGUGACAAAGACUGUAAAGCACAACACUCUUAACAAGGCAGCCAGACAGGCACGCUUUUCUUGGAGCAACGAGGAGGAAAGAAACACAAGGACGAAUUUCUUCCCUGUU